rnacentral:rRNA from 1 species
UACAGAGGCUCCAAGCGUUAUCCGGAAUCACUGGGCGUAAAGGGUGUGUAGGUGGUCUUGUUAGUCUUCUGUUAAAUCUCCCGGCCCAACCGGGAACAUGCAGGAGAAACGGCAAAACUAGAGGAUGAGAGGGGUGCAUGGAACUCACGGAGUAGGGGUGAAAUCCGUUGAUAUCGUGGGGAACACCAAAAGCGAAGGCAAUGCACUGGCUCACUCCUGACACUGAAACACGAAAGCGUAGGUAGCGAAUGGG